rnacentral:rRNA from 1 species
AUGAAGCUAUGGGAGAGAGUCAUUGAGCACCGCUUAAGAAGAAUGACAAGCGUGACCAAAAAUCAGUUUGGUUUCAUGCCUGGGAGGUCGACCAUGGAAGCCAUUUUCUUGGUACGACAACUUAUGGAGAGAUAUAGGGAGCAUAAGAAGGACUUGCAUAUGGUGUUCAUUGACUUGGAGAAGGCCUAUGAUAAGAUACCGCGGAAUGUCAUGUGGUGGGCCUUGGAGAAACCCAAAGUCCCAGCAAAGUACAUUACCCUCAUCAAGGACAUGUACAAUAAUGUUGUGACAAGUGUUCGACCAAGUGAUGUCGACACCGAUGACUUCCCGAUUAAGAUAGGACUGCAUCAGGGGUCAACUUUGAGCCCUUAUCUUUUUGCAUUGGUGAUGGAUGAGGUCACAAGGGGUAUACAAGGAGAUAUCCCAUGGUGUAUGCUCUUUGCGGAUGAUGUGGUGCUAGUUGACGAUAGUCGGACGGGGGUAAAUAGGAAGUUAGAGUUAUGGAGAAAAACCUUGGAAUCGAAAGGGUUUAGGCUUAGUAGAACUAAAACCGAGUACAUGAUGUGCGGUUUCAGUACUACUAGCUGUGAGGAGGAGGAGGUUAGCCUUGAUGGCCAGGUGGUACCUCGGAAGGACACCUUUCGGUAUUUGGGGUCAAUGUUGCAGGAGGAUGGGGGUAUUGAUGAAGAUGUGAACCAUCGAAUCAAAGCCGGAUGGAUGAAGUGGCGCCAAGCUUCUGGCAUUCUCUGUGACAAGAGAGUGCCACAAAAGCUAAAAGGCAAGUUCUACAGGACGGCGGUUCGACCCGCAAUGUUGUAUGGCGCGGAGUGUUGGCCGACUAAAAGGCGACAUGUUCAACAGUUAGGUGUGGCGGAGAUGCGUAUGUUGAGAUGGAUGUGUGGCCACACGAGGAAGGAUCGAGCCCGGAAUGAUGAUAUACAAGAUAGAGUUGGGGUAGCACCAAUUGAGGAGAAGCUUGUCCAACAUCGUUUGAGAUGGUUUGGGCAUAUUCAGCGCAGGCCUCCAGAAGCUCCAGUGCAUAGCGGACGGCUAAAGCGUGCGGAGAAUGUCAAGAGAGGGCGGGGUCGACCGAUUUUGACAUGGGAGGAGUCCGUUAAGAGAGACCUGAAGGAUUGGAGUAUCGACAAAGAGCUAGCUAUGGACAGGGGUGCGUGGAAGCUUGCUAUCCAUGUGCCAGAGCCAUGA